rnacentral:tRNA from 127 species
GGGCGCGUAGCUCAGCGGGAGAGCAUUCGCUUCACACGCGAAGGGUCACAGGUUCAAUCCCUGUCGCGCCCACCA